rfam:Cricetulus griseus cell line CHO-K1, whole genome shotgun sequence.
GUUUGUUGUAUACAGCUGUGUACAUUUGUAGGCAGAUCCGAGGAGGGACUGACGAGUUCGAACUCCCGACCGCGGCUCCAGGAGACAUCCUGGUAGC